rnacentral:rRNA from 1 species
UGUCGGCGANUCGGGUUGUUUGGGAAUNCACCCCCAAUCGGGCGGUAAAUUCCGNCCAAGGCUAAAUACUGACGAGAGACCGAUAGCGAACAAGUACCGCGAGGGAAAGAUGAAAAGGACUUUGAAAAGAGAGUCAAAGAGUGCUUGAAANUGUCGGGAGGGAANCGGAUGGGGNCCGNCGAUNUGUCCCGGUCGGAUGUGGNACGGUGUGAGCCGGUCCCCCGAUCGACUCGGGACAUUGACCGACGCGGAUUGCAGCGGUGNCCCAAGCCCGGNCUCUUGAUAUGCUCGUGGAGACGUCAUCGCUGCGAUUGUGGACGGCAGCGCGCGCCUCAUGGCGUGCNUCGGCACGUGCGCGCUCCGGGCGUCGNCCUGUGGGCUCCCCAUUNG